ensembl:snoRNA
GUGCACAUUUCAUUGACCUGCUUUCUCUCAUACACGUGAACAGUUAUUUCUUAACGUGCUGUACAAAUAAUUGAAGAUUCAUUAGCAGUAUAACUAUAGAGCAAUGCUGCCAGUCCCCUUCAGACAAAU